GACGAACGCUGGCGGCGUGCUUAACACAUGCAAGUCGAACGGAAAGGCCCUGCUUGCAGGGUACUCGAGUGGCGAACGGGUGAGUAACACGUGGGUGAUCUGCCCUGCACUUCGGGAUAAGCCUGGGAAACUGGGUCUAAUACCGGAUAGGAGCCAUUUUUAGUGUGAUGGUUGGAAAGUUUUUUCGGUGUAGGAUGAGCUCGCGGCCUAUCAGCUUGUUGGUGGGGUAAUGGCCUACCAAGGCGGCGACGGGUAGCCGGCCUGAGAGGGUGGACGGCCACAUUGGGACUGAGAUACGGCCCAGACUCCUACGGGAGGAAGCAGUGGGGAAGAUUGCACAAUGGGCGCAAGCCUGAUGCAGCGACGCCGCGUGGGGGAUGACGGCCUUCGGGUUGUAAACUCCUUUCGCUAGGGACGAAGCUUUUUGUGACGGUACCUAGAUAAGAAGCACCGGCUAACUACGUG
rnacentral:rRNA from 1 species